rnacentral:lncRNA from 1 species
AGGUAAUGUAAAUGUAUCCCUUUUCGUCAGUGGUAAGUCGACCGGCUAGCAUUGGAAAGUGAGUGAGCGUUUGCGAGAGGCUGCGCUUGAGGAUACAAACAAGUUUAGUGAAAAGAAAUGAUAGGUCUGUAAAUAAGCAGCCAUUCUUAAAGUAAUGGCAUAAGAGCAUAUGGACGUCUGAAAAUUGAGAGUUUGAGGUCAUCCACGUUAAAAAUCUAAUCGGGAAAAUUGUGCAUUUGGAUGCCCGAGUUAAAGAUUGCGAAGACAUUUUUUGAAAUUGAUUUCAUCAAC